GGGGGCGACAUGGUUUCGACGGGGAUAGUUGAACUCGCGGCGGCAGGCCGAGCGACCCGGCGACUCGUUAAUCCGCAGGGACUAAAUACAAAAGCAGACUCCUACGAGUACGCUCUAGCCGCUUAAGGCUAGCAUCUCAACGCUGACGUGGCCC
rnacentral:tmRNA from 1 species